CAUUACCUUUAUUCAACAUGCUGUCACUGCAGCAUUGUGUGUUUUCUCUGAUGUUUCUCUCCAUUCUAACAGGUAUCAGCUGUGAAGAACUCACUCCAGCUGAGAAAGAAAAGAGCAGUUUAGAAGGCAGCUCUGUUACUCUGUCCUACAGAUAUUCAUCUGGUAAUUUUUUCUUCUGGUACCGACAAUAUCCAGGAAAACCACCAGAGUUCAUCAUCUCCCAUUCUGCUUCGGGAUUUGUAGGAAACAACAAUAGUGUAAUUCCUGGAUUGAAGAUUAAAGUGGAGGACAAACAAAUCCUCAUGAAUAUCCCCUCAGCUAAGGUGUCUGACUCUGCUGUGUACUACUGUGCUCUG